GCCACCAUAGCUUAGGGGUAGAGCGGCUGACUUGUAAUCAGCAGGUCGGGAGUUCAAAUCUCCCUGGUGGCUCCA
rnacentral:tRNA from 1 species